rnacentral:rRNA from 1 species
AGAGUUUGAUCCUGGCUCAGGACGAACGCUGGCGGCGCGCCUAACACAUGCAAGUCGAACGAGCGAGAGAGAGCUUGCUUUCUCGAGCGAGUGGCGAACGGGUGAGUAACGCGUGAGGAACCUGCCUCAAAGAGGGGGACAACAGUUGGAAACGACUGCUAAUACCGCAUAAGCCCACGGCUCGGCAUCGAGCAGAGGGAAAAGGAGCAAUCCGCUUUGAGAUGGCCUCGCGUCCGAUUAGCUAGUUGGUGAGGUAACGGCCCACCAAGGCGACGAUCGGUAGCCGGACUGAGAGGUUGAACGGCCACAUUGGGACUGAGACACGGCCCAGACUCCUACGGGAGGCAGCAGUGGGGAAUAUUGCACAAUGGGGGAAACCCUGAUGCAGCGACGCCGCGUGGAGGAAGAAGGUCUUCGGAUUGUAAACUCCUGUUGUUGAGGAAGAUAAUGACGGUACUCAACAAGGAAGUGACGGCUAACUACGUGCCAGCAGCCGCGGUAAAACGUAGGUCACAAGCGUUGUCCGGAAUUACUGGGUGUAAAGGGAGCGCAGGCGGGAAGACAAGUUGGAAGUGAAAUCUAUGGGCUCAACCCAUAAACUGCUUUCAAAACUGUUUUUCUUGAGUAGUGCAGAGGUAGGCGGAAUUCCCGGUGUAGCGGUGGAAUGCGUAGAUAUCGGGAGGAACACCAGUGGCGAAGGCGGCCUACUGGGCACCAACUGACGCUGAGGCUCGAAAGUGUGGGUAGCAAACAGGAUUAGAUACCCUGGUAGUCCACACCGUAAACGAUGAUUACUAGGUGUUGGAGGAUUGACCCCUUCAGUGCCGCAGUUAACACAAUAAGUAAUCCACCUGGGGAGUACGACCGCAAGGUUGAAACUCAAAGGAAUUGACGGGGGCCCGCACAAGCAGUGGAGUAUGUGGUUUAAUUCGACGCAACGCGAAGAACCUUACCAAGUCUUGACAUCCCUUGACGAUGCUGGAAACAGUAUUUCUCUUCGGAGCAAGGAGACAGGUGGUGCAUGGUUGUCGUCAGCUCGUGUCGUGAGAUGUUGGGUUAA